rnacentral:rRNA from 1 species
AUUGAAGAGUUUGAUCAUGGCUCAGAUUGAACGCUGGCGGCAGGCCUAACACAUGCAAGUCGAACGGUAACAGGAAACAGCUUGCUGUUUCGCUGACGAGUGGCGGACGGGUGAGUAAUGUCUGGGAAACUGCCUGAUGGAGGGGGAUAACUACUGGAAACGGUAGCUAAUACCGCAUAACGUCGCAAGACCAAAGAGGGGGACCUUCGGGCCUCUUGCCAUCGGAUGUGCCCAGAUGGGAUUAGCUAGUAGGUGGGGUAACGGCUCACCUAGGCGACGAUCCCUAGCUGGUCUGAGAGGAUGACCAGCCACACUGGAACUGAGACACGGUCCAGACUCCUACGGGAGGCAGCAGUGGGGAAUAUUGCACAAUGGGCGCAAGCCUGAUGCAGCCAUGCCGCGUGUAUGAAGAAGGCCUUCGGGUUGUAAAGUACUUUCAGCGGGGAGGAAGGGAGUAAAGUUAAUACCUUUGCUCAUUGACGUUACCCGCAGAAGAAGCACCGGCUAACUCCGUGCCAGCAGCCGCGGUAAUACGGAGGGUGCAAGCGUUAAUCGGAAUUACUGGGCGUAAAGCGCACGCAGGCGGUUUGUUAAGUCAGAUGUGAAAUCCCCGGGCUCAACCUGGGAACUGCAUCUGAUACUGGCAAGCUUGAGUCUCGUAGAGGGGGGUGGAAUUCCAGGUGUAGCGGUGAAAUGCGUAGAGAUCUGGAGGAAUACCGGUGGCGAAGGCGGCCCCCUGGACGAAGACUGACGCUCAGGUGCGAAAGCGUGGGGAGCAAACAGGAUUAGAUACCCUGGUAGUCCACGCCGUAAACGAUGUCGACUUGGAGGUUGUGCCCUUGAGGCGUGGCUUCCGGAGCUAACGCGUUAAGUCGACCGCCUGGGGAGUACGGCCGCAAGGUUAAAACUCAAAUGAAUUGACGGGGGCCCGCACAAGCGGUGGAGCAUGUGGUUUAAUUCGAUGCAACGCGAAGAACCUUACCUGGUCUUGACAUCCACAGAACUUUCCAGAGAUGGAUUGGUGCCUUCGGGAACUGUGAGACAGGUGCUGCAUGGCUGUCGUCAGCUCGUGUUGUGAAAUGUUGGGUUAAGUCCCGCAACGAGCGCAACCCUUAUCCUUUGUUGCCAGCGGUCCGGCCGGGAACUCAAAGGAGACUGCCAGUGAUAAACUGGAGGAAGGUGGGGAUGACGUCAAGUCAUCAUGGCCCUUACGACCAGGGCUACACACGUGCUACAAUGGCGCAUACAAAGAGAAGCGACCUCGCGAGAGCAAGCGGACCUCAUAAAGUGCGUCGUAGUCCGGAUUGGAGUCUGCAACUCGACUCCAUGAAGUCGGAAUCGCUAGUAAUCGUGGAUCAGAAUGCCACGGUGAAUACGUUCCCGGGCCUUGUACACACCGCCCGUCACACCAUGGGAGUGGGUUGCAAAAGAAGUAGGUAGCUUAACCUUCGGGAGGGCGCUUACCACUUUGUGAUUCAUGACUGGGGUGAAGUCGUAACAAGGUAACCGUAGGGGAACCUGCGGUUGGAUCACCUCCUU